rnacentral:misc_RNA from 1 species
UGCCCUCUUUAAGAAGGUCAAUUACAUAAAUUCAAAUUGCAGUUGCAGUCACCAAUGAUGGAAACAUACUUGUAAGGGCGGUAACAUAAUGGCCACAGCCUACGCAAAUUUUUUUGAUAAAAUUGCAUAGUUCAUAAAUAAUAAGCAUAAAUACCCCAAAUUAAGACAUUAAAUCCUCAUUCUCAGACAUCAUAAGUAUUAAUCAAUUUAAAACUAAA